GGGUUGUGAGGUUAAGCGACUAAGCGUACACGGUGGAUGCCCUGGCAGUCAGAGGCGAUGAAGGACGUGCUAAUCUGCGAAAAGCGUCGGUAAGGUGAUAUGAACCGUUAUAGCCGGCGAUGUCCGAAUGGGGAAACCCAGUGCAAUUCGUUGCACUAUCGUUAACUGAAUACAUAGGUUAACGAGGCGAACCGGGGGAACUGAAACAUCUAAGUACCCCGAGGAAAAGAAAUCAACCGAGAUUCCCCCAGUAGCGGCGAGCGAACGGGGAGCAGCCCAGAGUCUGAAUCAGCUUGUGUGUUAGUGGAACGGUCUGGAAAGUCCGACGGUACAGGGUGAUAGUCCCGUACACCAAAAUGCACAGGCUGUGAACUCGAAGAGUAGGGCGGGACACGUGGUAUCCUGUCUGAAUAUGGGGGGACCAUCCUCCAAGGCUAAAUACUCCUGACUGACCGAUAGUGAACCAGUACCGUGAGGGAAAGGCGAAAAGAACCCCGGCGAGGGGAGUGAAAAAGAACCUGAAACCGUGUACGUACAAGCAGUGGGAGCACCUUCGGGUGUGACUGCGUACCUUUUGUAUAAUGGGUCAGCGACUUAUAUUCUGUAGCAAGGUUAACCGUAUAGGGGAGCCGCAGGGAAACCGAGUCUUAACUGGGCGUUAAGUUGCAGGGUAUAGACCCGAAACCCGGUGAUCUAGCCAUGGGCAGGUUGAAGGUUGGGUAACACUAACUGGAGGACCGAACCGACUAAUGUUGAAAAAUUAGCGGAUGACUUGUGGCUGGGGGUGAAAGGCCAAUCAAACCGGGAGAUAGCUGGUUCUCCCCGAAAGCUAUUUAGGUAGCGCCUCGUGAACUCAUCUUCGGGGGUAGAGCACUGUUUCGGCUAGGGGGUCAUCCCGACUUACCAACCCGAUGCAAACUACGAAUACCGAAGAAUGUUAUCACGGGAGACACACGGCGGGUGCUAACGUCCGUCGUGAAGAGGGAAACAACCCAGACCGCCAGCUAAGGUCCCAAAGUCAUGGUUAAGUGGGAAACGAUGUGGGAAGGCACAGACAGCCAGGAUGUUGGCUUAGAAGCAGCCAUCAUUUAAAGAAAGCGUAAUAGCUCACUGGUCGAGUCGGCCUGCGCGGAAGAUGUAACGGGGCUAAACCAUGCACCGAAGCUGCGGCAGCGACACUAUGUGUUGUUGGGUAGGGGAGCGUUCUGUAAGCCUGCGAAGGUGACCUGUGAGGGUUGCUGGAGGUAUCAGAAGUGCGAAUGCUGACAUAAGUAACGAUAAAGCGGGUGAAAAGCCCGCUCGCCGGAAGACCAAGGGUUCCUGUCCAACGUUAAUCGGGGCAGGGUGAGUCGACCCCUAAGGCGAGGCCGAAAGGCGUAGUCGAUGGGAAACAGGUUAAUAUUCCUGUACUUGGUGUUACUGCGAAGGGGGGACGGAGAAGGCUAUGUUAGCCGGGCGACGGUUGUCCCGGUUUAAGCAUGUAGGCUGGUUAUCCAGGCAAAUCCGGAUAAUCAAGGCUGAGGUGUGAUGACGAGGCACUACGGUGCUGAAGUAACAAAUGCCCUGCUUCCAGGAAAAGCCUCUAAGCAUCAGGUAACAUUAAAUCGUACCCCAAACCGACACAGGUGGUCAGGUAGAGAAUACCAAGGCGCUUGAGAGAACUCGGGUGAAGGAACUAGGCAAAAUGGUGCCGUAACUUCGGGAGAAGGCACGCUGGUGUGUAGGUGAAGUCCCUGCGGAUGGAGCUGAGACCAGUCGAAGAUACCAGCUGGCUGCAACUGUUUAUUAAAAACACAGCACUGUGCAAACACGAAAGUGGACGUAUACGGUGUGACGCCUGCCCGGUGCCGGAAGGUUAAUUGAUGGGGUUAUCCGUAAGGAGAAGCUCUUGAUCGAAGCCCCGGUAAACGGCGGCCGUAACUAUAACGGUCCUAAGGUAGCGAAAUUCCUUGUCGGGUAAGUUCCGACCUGCACGAAUGGCGUAAUGAUGGCCAGGCUGUCUCCACCCGAGACUCAGUGAAAUUGAACUCGCUGUGAAGAUGCAGUGUACCCGCGGCAAGACGGAAAGACCCCGUGAACCUUUACUAUAGCUUGACACUGAACAUUGAGCCUUGAUGUGUAGGAUAGGUGGGAGGCUUUGAAGCGUGGACGCCAGUCUGCGUGGAGCCAACCUUGAAAUACCACCCUUUAAUGUUUGAUGUUCUAACGUUGGCCCCUUACCGGGGUUGCGGACAGUGUCUGGUGGGUAGUUUGACUGGGGCGGUCUCCUCCCAAAGCGUAACGGAGGAGCACGAAGGUUAGCUAAUCCUGGUCGGACAUCAGGAGGUUAGUGCAAUGGCAUAAGCUAGCUUGACUGCGAGCGUGACGGCGCGAGCAGGUGCGAAAGCAGGUCAUAGUGAUCCGGUGGUUCUGAAUGGAAGGGCCAUCGCUCAACGGAUAAAAGGUACUCCGGGGAUAACAGGCUGAUACCGCCCAAGAGUUCAUAUCGACGGCGGUGUUUGGCACCUCGAUGUCGGCUCAUCACAUCCUGGGGCUGAAGUAGGUCCCAAGGGUAUGGCUGUUCGCCAUUUAAAGUGGUACGCGAGCUGGGUUUAGAACGUCGUGAGACAGUUCGGUCCCUAUCUGCCGUGGGCGCUGGAGAAUUGAGGGGGGCUGCUCCUAGUACGAGAGGACCGGAGUGGACGCAUCACUGGUGUUCGGGUUGUCAUGCCAAUGGCACUGCCCGGUAGCUAAAUGCGGAAGAGAUAAGUGCUGAAAGCAUCUAAGCACGAAACUUGCCCCGAGAUGAGUUCUCCCUGAGACUUUAAGUCUCCUGAAGGAACGUUGAAGACGACGACGUUGAUAGGCCGGGUGUGUAAGCGCAGCGAUGCGUUGAGCUAACCGGUACUAAUGAACCGUGAGGCUUAACCUUACAACGCCGAAG
rnacentral:rRNA from 2 species